rnacentral:rRNA from 1 species
UACGGAUGGGGCAAGCGUUGUUCGGAAUCAUUGGGCGUAAAGGGCGCGUAGGUGGUUCUGUAUGUCUACCGUGAAAGCGUACGGCUCAACCGUAUUUUGUCGGUGGAAACUGCAGGACUUGAGGCUGGGAGGGGCUGGUGGAAUUCCCUGUGUAGCGGUGAAAUGCGUAGAGAUGGGGGAGAACACUCGUGGCGAAGGCGGCCAGCUAGACCAGUUCUGACACUGAGGCGCGACAGCGUGGGGAGCAAACAGG